CGGCGAAACUGACGUACAAGGAGUCAUUUAGUCGUCUUAUUUCGUACCGAUAACAUGGAUCGUGUUGCGUCAGGUUUGCAACAUAUUGUAACGUAUUGGCGGCGUCGGUCUUUUAUUACUCUAAUAAUUUAAUCCAAUUAAAUAAUCACACGCGAAAAUAAUGAAAUUUUAUCACAUAAUUUUGUACGCGACGUUAGAGUUCUUGUUCGCCGAUUAUAAUUUUAACGCUCACGGUAAUGUGAUCCUAUUUCAUAUUCUUUUGAAUAUUCUUUUUCGGUAUUAGAGUCAGUGCAUCUCUCAAGAGGACAAAGCUUCUGCAGGAGCUCAAGAAUACAUAUCACUACUUCAACUUCGUCAUCUUCUUCAGGAGUGUUCUAACAGUGGCACAAAAGCCAAGUAUAUUUUUCGCAGUUUGCAUUUCUACUAUUAGCCUUUCGACGGUUCCUGUCUGAUGUUAGUCUCCCGGAUGAAAUUCGCUGGGAUAGCACAGCAUCCACGGUAACGUUCUCUGUUUGUCUGCUUCGAACGGUGAGUCGCAUGCAUUUCUGUUCUUCUGGUCACUCAAUUAUGCCGUAGGAUAAAAGACCCGAAUCGGCACGGGUGACUGGUUGUAUUACGUAGAAUUCUUUGCGAGCAUAGUGAACGCGGGUAUCUUUUAUACCCGUGAGUAGUAACGCUCUUUUUUUCAAAUUUAUUAGUUUAGGAUAGGUCUUCUUGCACAGCGCGAUGAUAAUAAUUAGUUUUUUAAUAAUUAAGUUAAACAUAUACACUUGAGAAUAUAUUCGCGUUAUUUAUAAAUAUGCAUGUUAAUAUUCCGUAUGAAUAUUUGCAAAUGGCAAAUAU